UACAGAGGUGGCAAACGUUGUCCGGAAUUACUGGGUGUAAAGGGUCCGCAGGCGGCCUUGUAAGUCAAAGGUGAAAUGUCUCGGCUUAACCGAGUCACUGCCUUUGAAACUGCAGGGCUUGAGUACGGUAGAGGAGAGUGGAAUUCCCAGUGUAGCGGUGAAAUGCGUAGAUAUUGGGAGGAACACCAGUGGCGAAGGCGGCUCUCUGGACCGAUACUGACGCUCAGGGACGAAAGCCAGGGGAGCAAACGGG
rnacentral:rRNA from 1 species